GUUGACUCUUUUCACUCAGCAUGAAUCCGUGGAGUUCAUCCAAGUCAUUGUGUGUAUUUACCAUUGGUUCCCUUUAUUGCAGAGAAGUAUCUCAUGAUGUUAUACACAACAGUUUCUUUAACCACUCACCUGUUGAAGAACACCAGGGCCGAUUCCAGUUUCUGGCUAACGUGAAUCAAGCUACUAUGGACAUUUCUGUACAGCUCUCAAGCACUGAUAGGCUGAUAGCUUCCAAUUUUCUUAAAACCCCACUGGCUUCUCUGCAUAUUAGCAGUCACACCUCGGCACUCCAGAAUCUCUCUCAGCACCGUGGCGAGGUCAAUUCAACAAAUGUUUAUUGACUACUUACUAUAUGAGGCUAUUUCCAGGGUGUCUUACUGUCCAACCAUGAAAUCAGAGCCACCCGUGUGUUUAAUCUUACAACACAAGAAUGCCAGGACAAGAUUCUCGUCUCCUCCAUGAGCUUCUGCUCCUCCUCUUGCCCCAGAUAUCUGCCCUUUGACCUUCUCAGUUCCUUCCUGCUCUGCUCUGUAUGAGUAAAGGCCCAGGACUGCAACGUAAGUGUGAAUUUGCCUGUCCCAAUCUCUGACAGAUUCCUCAGCCCAGCCCUCAGCACCAAGGGAGUGUCCGGCUGACUCCUCAGUCAGAGAAUGGGAAAAUCCCCACCUUGAGGCGUUUAUUCCAUGUUCGCAGAACUUCAACUAUAUACCAAGUGUGACCCGGUGACUCAACAGAGGAGCUUCUCUCUCUUCAGAAGAGGAGUUCAGAGAUGAGGCAGGCAACCCCAGUGGCUGGGGAACUUCUGCUCCAGGAGAUCAUGCAGAGACCAGCUGCCUCUCUCCGGUUGCUCACCUGACCAUGAGCGUGUCCCCUAGUGGGAGGAGGGAAAGAAGAAGUUAAUGCAAAUACUUUCCUUUCCAAGGAUGUGACAUUGAGUUUGUUCACAUUGUUUCCAUUUGCAUCCCAUUGACCAUAACUUUGUCACAUGGCUUCACCCCACUGGAGGGAGGCUGGAGCCACCUUCUCCAGCUGGACAAAAGGCAACAUAGUGGGGUAACCAAUUAAAGGAAGAGGAGGAGACGACCAGGAGCCAGCGGACAUUCCACUGUCACUGUCACAGACUCUGUCGUUCAGUUUGAUAUCCGAUUAUAAAAUCAUUAUAAAAUACAUUGAAAACAUUCCCCUCACUUGGAUGCUUUUUGACAAUUUAUAAUUCAUAGGAUUUUCCCCUUCCUUAGGAUAAGUCAGACGAAAAUAAUUUGGGAGGUGAGUAUUUCGCACAUGCUGUGAAGGUCUUCCGUGGUUAUGUACGUGCUUAUGCUUUCUCCUUUUUCCAGAGCUAACUUUAGAAUUUUAUAU
rnacentral:lncRNA from 1 species